rnacentral:miRNA from 1 species
AUGGUGUAUAUAAAUCAUUACCAGGUAGAUGGUGCCUUGUGUGGUAUAUGUGUAUAUAUAUACCACACAAGGCCCCAUCUACCUGGUAAUGAUUUAUAUA